GCAAGUCGAGCGGACAGAUGGGAGCUUGCUCCCUGAUGUUAGCGGCGGACGGGUGAGUAACACGUGGGUAACCUGCCUGUAAGACUGGGAUAACUCCGGGAAACCGGGGCUAAUACCGGAUGCUUGAUUGAACCGCAUGGUUCAAUUAUAAAAGGUGGCUUUUACCUACCACUUACAAAUGGACCCCCGGCCCAUUACCUAUUUGGUAAGGUAACGGCUCACCAAGGCAACAAUCCUUACCCAACCUGAAAGGGUGAUCGGCCACACUGGAACUGAAACACGGCCCAAACUCCUACGGAAGGCACCAUUAGGAAAUCUUCCGCAAGGAACAAAAGUCUGACGAACCACCGCCCCGUGAUUGAUGAAGGUUUUCGAAUCGAAAAACUCUGUUGUUAGGGAAAAACAAUUACCGUUCAAAUAGGGCGGUACCUUGACGGUACCUAACCAAAAAGCCACGGCUAACUACUUGCCACCACCCCCGGUAAUACUUAGGUGGCAAGCGUUGUCCGAAAUUAUUGGCCGUAAAGCGCGCGCAGGCGGUUUCUUAAUUCUAAUGUGAAAGCCCCCGGCUCAACCGGGAAGGGUCAUUGGAAACUGGGAAACUUGAUUGCAAAGAAGGAAAGUGAAAUUCCACUUGUACCGUUGAAAUGCUUAAAGAUGUGAAGGACCACCAUUGCCGAAGGCAACUCUCUGGCCUGUAACUGACCCUAAGG
rnacentral:rRNA from 1 species